AUGAACGCUGGCGGCGUGCCUAAUACAUGCAAGUCGAGCGAACGGACGAGAAGCUUGCUUCUCUGAUGUUAGCGGCGGACGGGUGAGUAACACGUGGAUAACCUACCUAUAAGACUGGGAUAACUUCGGGAAACCGGAGCUAAUACCGGAUGAUAUUUUGAACCGCAUGGUUCAAAAGUGAAAGACGGUCUUGCUGUCACUUAUAGAUGGAUCCGCGCUGCAUUAGCUAGUUGGUAAGGUAACGGCUUACCAAGGCAACGAUGCAUAGCCGACCUGAGAGGGUGAUAGGCCACACUGGAACUGAGACACGGUCCAGACUCCUACGGGAGGCAGCAGUAGGGAAUCUUCCGCAAUGGGCGAAAGCCUGACGGAGCAACGCCGCGUGAGUGAUGAAGGUCUUCGGAUCGUAAAACUCUGUUAUGAGGGAAGAACAUAUGUGUAAGUAACUGUGCACAUCUUGACGGUACCUAAUCAGAAAGCCACGGCUAACUACGUG
rnacentral:rRNA from 1 species